rnacentral:rRNA from 1 species
CGAUACUGUUGCCUCGGGGGCGACCCGGCCUUCGGGCGUCGGGGCCCCCGGUGGACCCGUAACUCUGCAUCUUUGCGUCUGAGUAAACAUUGAAUUAUUUAAAACUUUCAACAACGGAUCUCUUGGUUCUGGCAUCGAUGAAGAACGCAGCGAAAUGCGAUAAGUAAUGUGAAUUGCAGAAUUCAGUGAAUCAUCGAAUCUUUGAACGCACAUUGCGCCCCCUGGCAUUCCGGGGGGCAUGCCUGUUCGAGCGUCAUUACACCACUCAAGCCUCGCUUGGUAUUGGGCACCGCGGGCGACCGCGCGCCCCAAAUUCACCGGCUGAGCCGUCCGUCUCUAAGCGUUGUGGCAACUAUUCGCUUGCGAGGCCCGGGCGACCCGGCCGUUAAACCCCCAUCAAAGGUUGACCUCGGAUCAGGUAGGGAUACCCGCUGAACUUAAGCAUAUCAAUAAGCGGAGGAAAAGAAACCAACAGGGAUUGCCCUAGUAACGGCGAGUGAAGCGGCAACAGCUCAAAUUUGAAAUCUGGCGCAAGCCCGAGUUGUAAUUUGUAGAGGAUGCUUCGAGGCAGCGGCCGGUCUAAGUUCCUUGGAACAGGACGUCAUAGAGGGUGAGAAUCCCGUCUGCGACCGGCUGGCACCUCACACGUAGCUCCUUCGACGAGUCGAGUUGUUUGGGAAUGCAGCUCUAAAUGGGAGGUAAAUUUCUUCUAAAGCUAAAUACCGGCCAGAGACCGAUAGCGCACAAGUAGAGUGAUCGAAAGAUGAAAAGCACUUUGGAAAGAGAGUUAAAAAGCACGUGAAAUUGUUGAAAGGGAAGGGCAAGCAACCAGACUUGUCGGCGGUGUUCCGCCGGUCUUCUGACCGGUUCACUCGCCGCCGGCAGGCCAGCAUCGUCUGCGAGCGCCGGAUAAAGGUGCGAGGAA